rnacentral:misc_RNA from 1 species
GUGGAAGCCAAUAAGUUUCCAAAACUAAAUUUUACGUCGAGAUCCUUUUCAGCUACCAUUUUUCCCACAAGUUUAAUCUGAUUCAACCAUCAGAGAAUGGAGGGGUUAUUGCAUGUGCUAAGAUCUCUGUGGCGAGCUCUCAAAUUUAGAUGGAAACCAGCGGAGCAGUUAAUAACUUUUGGUCGCUCUGCCAUACGGUGGCCUUCCUUUGCCCCUCUUAGAUCGAUGAUGAUUGGAGAGAGA